CUGUACCUACGGGGCGCAGCAGGAGGGAAUUUUCGUCAAUGGGCGCAAGCCUGAACGAGCAAUGCCGCGUGAACGAGGAAGGUCUUCGGAUCGUAAAGUUCUGUUGAAGGGGAAAAAGAGCGGAGAGAGGAAAUGGUCUCCGAUUGAUAUUCCCCUUCGAGGAAGUCACGGCUAACUACGUGACAGCAGCAGCGGUAAUACGGAGGUGGCGAGCGUUAUCCGGAAUGAUGGGGCGUAAUGGGUGCGUAGGCGGCGUGCUAAGUCUGGAGU
rnacentral:rRNA from 1 species